CCUACGGGAGGCAGCAGUGAGGAAUAUUGGUCAAUGGGCGCAAGCCUGAACCAGCCAAGUCGCGUGAGGGACGAAGGUGCCAAGCAUUGUAAACUUCUUUUGUCAAGGGACAAAAUCAGGCUCGAGAGCCUGACCGAGGGUACUUGAAGAAAAAGCAUCGGCUAACUCCGUGCCAGCAGUCGCGGUAAUACGGAGGAUGCGAGCGUUAUCCGGAUUUAUUGGGUUUAAAGGGUGCGUAGGCGGACUGUUAAGUCAGCGGUAAAAGCCCGGGGCUCAACCCCGGCGAGCCGUUGAAACUGGUUGUCUUGAGAUGUCGAGAGGUAUGCGGAAUGCGCAGUGUAGCGGUGAAAUGCUUAGAUAUUGCGCAGAACUCCGAUUGCGAAGGCAGCAUACCGGCGGCGAUCUGACGCUGAGGCACGAAAGCGUGGGUAUCGAACAGGAUUAGAUACCCCAGUAGUC
rnacentral:rRNA from 1 species